CCUCUGAGAUAUGCUAGUCUUGCAUGUUUAUACAUGAGCAAAGGAAGCAAAGUUUCUUUCCCUCCAACAUUUCUCUUUCUCAUGUUCUCUCUCUGCAUUUGUCACUAAUCGAGCUGUGCAUACGUUCUACGGUUCACAGUGAAAGAAAAGUGUUUGAAAUAUGGUUAUUUUAAUAAAUUCGCUGCGAGGCUUGUUUUAUUAUGGAUGCGUGAGCUUCACGACUUGUGGACUAAACCUGCUGACUUAAAUUUUUAUUGUAACACUGACUGGAUUCAACUGAAAGAACAAUGUCAUAUACACCUAGGAUACCUCGAGGAAAUGGGCUCUGAAAACUGACCCAGCUGAGCGUGCAUCAACAGGAAGUGCUUUGACAUCAUCAAAGGCUGAAAGCGGCAGGUCUGGAACUGUUUCUGAGGGCUCAGAAGCCUCACCGUGACGAGCCUACCUGAGCUAAUUCCCCGAUUGCCUCACCGUGGACUCCCUCACCACUCCGAGCACUGGAAAGCACUGAAGACAACGCUCCGCUGCACUCACCGGACUCACCGCUACACUUCCCCGAC